AUUGAACGCUGGCGGCAUGCUUUACACAUGCAAGUCGAACGGCAGCGCGGGCUUCGGCCUGGCGGCGAGUGGCGAACGGGUGAGUAAUGCAUCGGAACGUGCCCAGUAGUGGGGGAUAGCCCGUCGAAAGCCGGAUUAAUACCGCAUACGACCUGAGGGUGAAAGCGGGGGACCGAAAGGCCUCGCGCUAUUGGAGCGGCCGAUGUCGGAUUAGAUAGUUGGUGGGGUAAAGGCUUACCAAGGCGACGAUCCGUAGCUGGUCUGAGAGGACGACAAGCCACACUGGGACUGAGACACGGCCCAGACUCCUACGGGAGGCAGCAGUGGGGAAUGUUGGACAAUGGGGGCAACCCUGAUCCAGCCAUGCCGCGUGCGGGAAGAAGGCCUUCGGGUUGUAAACCGCUUUUGUUCGGGAAGAAAUCCUCUGGGCUAAUACCCCGGGGGGAUGACGGUACCGGAAGAAUAAGCACCGGCUAACUACGUG
rnacentral:rRNA from 1 species